UAAACGACUCUCGGCAACGGAUAUCUCGGCUCUCGCAUCGAUGAAGAACGUAGCGAAAUGCGAUACUUGGUGUGAAUUGCAGAAUCCCGUGAACCAUCGAGUCUUUGAACGCAAGUUGCGCCCGAGGCCUUCGGCCAAGGGCACGUCUGCCUGGGCGUCACGC
rnacentral:rRNA from 4 species